AAAGGCUAGAUUUGCUGCCUGUCGGACCAGCCAUGGGUGGUGGGGACCUAGCACCCUUUGAUAGGCUUCCCCACACAGAGCCCCUAUGUCUGUAUUCUGGACUCUGGCGAUGCUGCUCAGGCAGAGCUGGGCCCACCGCAGGGCUCGAUGCAGAAGCACCAAAAUUCGGAGACCAGAAGUGGGUUCAGAGGGAUCCUGCUCCCAGUCAGCCAUGGCAGAGAAGGUAGAACAGCAACAUGAAGAUGAAGAUGGUGAAGGGAAGACCAUAGCCAAGCCAGUGCCUGGUGGCCCAGACUUUAGGGUCAGGGGACAACAGCUUUAGCUUCAUGAUCGAGGUCCUGAACCACUGCUGCCUCCCCAACCCUCUUAUCAGUACUUGUUCUGAGUGGGUGGAGAAGAAUCAGUCACCUUGGAGGGAAGGGGCUAAUAAUUAAGCUUUCUAUCAGUCCUAUUGGCCUUUGACCCAAGUGAAGAGCUAAGGCCAGGAGUAAAAGGAAAUAGUUGCUCUCUACAAUCCUAUUAGACUCCUCCAGCCCUCUUUAAGGAUCCAGAAACAUGACAAAACCCUCAAAUGUCCUUUUGGACAAAUCUGCACUGACCCCAAAAAAAUGUAUAAAUAUUUUGGUUUCCUGGUGAAUUUCCAAUUCACCCAUAGAAUUACAGAAAGAAUUGGAGGGGAUCUCACAGAUCAUUUAAUCUAAUCCUGAUCUGAGCAAGAAUCCCUUCUACAGCAUCCCCAUAAAUGGUGCUCUAAAGAAAAUUGUGGAAUUAUAUCGUAAAAAAUUACAAAAAUCUUCAUACUCUUUGAUCUAACAAUUCUGAUUUUGUGUUUGUUUAUACACUAAGGUAUCAUGAUAGAAAUAAAGGACCUAUCUGAA